rnacentral:rRNA from 1 species
UACGUAGGGGGCAAGCGUUGUCCGGAAUCAUUGGGCGUAAAGCGCGUGUAGGCGGCCAGAAAAGUCCGCUGUGAAAACUCGAGGCUCAACUUCGAGCUGUCGGUGGAAACUUUCUGGCUAGAGUCCGGAAGAGGAGAAUGGAAUUCCUGGUGUAGCGGUGAAAUGCGCAGAUAUCAGGAAGAACACCCAUUGCGAAGGCAGCUCACUACGGGAAUAUUGACACUGAGGCACGAAAGCGUGGGGAUCAAACAGG